UUCGCGGCGCGGCCCUUUUGCGCGUGUCUUUUAAUACUUAUCGUCAAAUGCGCCGAACUGCGAAAU
rnacentral:pre_miRNA from 1 species